rnacentral:rRNA from 1 species
CAGCAGUAGCCACGGGAAUACGAAGGGGGCUAGCGUUGCUCGGAAUUACUGGGCGUAAAGGGCGCGUAGGCGGACAGUUCAGUCGGGGGUGAAAGCCCGGGGCUCAACCUCGGAAUUGCCUUCGAUACUGGCUGUCUUGAGUAUGAGAGAGGUGUGUGGAACUCCGAGUGUAGAGGUGAAAUUCGUAGAUAUUCGGAAGAACACCAGUGGCGAAGGCGACACACUGGCUCAUUACUGACGCUGAGGCGCGAAAGCGUGGGGAGCAAACAGGAUUAGAUACCCCUGUAGUCCCUGUCUCUUAUAC